rnacentral:rRNA from 1 species
AGUUCGAUCAUGGCUCAGAUUGAACGCUGGCGAUGCUUUACACAUGCAAGUCGAACGGCAGUACGGAUUCGGUCUGGUGGCGAGUGGCGAACGGGUGAGUAAUGUAUCGGAACGUGCCUAGUAGCGGGGAUAACUACGCGAAAGCGUGGCCAAUACCCCCAGCACGCCCUUCGGGGGGAAAGCGGGGACCUUCGGGCCUCGCAAUUCAUUAGAGCGGCCGACAUCGGAUUAGCUAGUUGGUGUGGGUAAACGGCUCAAUUAAGGCGACGAUCCGUAGCUGGUUUGAGAGGACGACCAGCCACACUGGGACUGAGACACGGCCCAGACUCACGGAGGCAGCAGUGAAUUUUGGGACAAUGGGGAAACCCCGAUCCAGCCAUCCCGCGUGUGCGAUGAAGGCCUUUCGUUGUAAAGCACUUGGCAGGAAAGAAACGGCACGGAUAAUUCGUGCAACUGACGGCACUGGCAGAAUAAGCACCGGCUAACUACGCCAGCAGCCGUAAUACGUAGGGUGCUGCUGCUAAUCGGAAUUAUCGCUUGGCGUAAAGCGUGCGCAGGCGGGUCUGGAAAGAAAGAUGGGAAAAUCCCAGAGCUUAAUCCUUUGGAACUGCAUUUUAGAACUACUGAGCUAGAGUGUGGUCAGAGUGGGAGGUGGAAUUCCAGUAGCAGUGAAAAUGCGUGAUAUGCGGAGGAACACCGAUGGUGUAGCUGCAGCCUCGAUACCUGAUUAUGCACGAAAGCGUGGGAGCAAACAGGAUUAGAGUUAAUUCUGGUAGUCCACGCCCUAAACGAUGUCAACUAGCUGUUGGGGCUCGGGCUCGGGUGCAGCGCAGCUAACGCGUGAAGUUGACCGCUCUGGGGAGUACGGUCGUGCUGAUUAAACUCAAAGGAAUUGACGGGACCUGCACAAGCGGUGGAUGAUGGGACACUGAUGCAACGCGUGAAAAACUCACUCGGCCCCUGACAUGUCUGGAAUCCCGAAGAGAUCGGGAGUGCUCGCAAGAGAACCGAACAUGGGUGCUGCAUGGCUGCCGCCAGCUCGUGUCGUAGAUGUUGCCGUCCCGCAACGAGCAACCCUUAGUCAUUAUUAAGGCGAAAGGGACUCUAUCGAGACUGCCGGUGACAAACCGGAGGAAGGUGGGGAUGACGUCAAGUCCUCAAGGCCUUAUGGUAGGGCUUCACACGUCAUACAAUGGUCGGGACAGAGGGUCGCCAAUUCGCGAGGGAGCCAAUCCCAGAAACCUGAUCGUAGUCCGGACUGUGCCCGCAACCGACUGCGUGAAGUCGGAAUCGCUAGUAAUCGCGGAUCAGCAUGUUUUGUGAAUGAUGCGUUCCUCGGGUCUUGUACACACCGCCCGUCACACCAUGGGAGUGGGUUUUACCAGAAAGUAGUUAGUCAACCGUAAGGAGGGCGAUUACCACGGUAGAUUCAUGAUCAGCGGAAGUCGUAACAAGGUA